rnacentral:rRNA from 1 species
GUCGAGAAGCUUCGGCAAUGGGCGAAAGCCUGACCGAGCGACGCCGCGUGAGCGAUGAAGGCCCUAUGGGUUGUAAAGCUCUGUCAGAUUGGGACGAAAACUUCGAGGUUAAUACCCCCGAAGCUUGACGGUACCAUCAGAGGAAGCACCGGCUAACUCCGUGCCAGCAGCCGCGGUAAUACGGAGGGUGCAAGCGUUGUUCGGAUUCACUGGGUAUAAAGGGUGCGUAGGCGGCGCGAUAAGUCAGGGGUGAAAUAUGUCGGCUCAACCGACAAACUGCCUCUGAAACUGCCGCGCUUGAGGUCGGGAGAGGAAGGUGGAAUUCCAGGUGUAGCGGUGAAAUGCGUAAAUAUCUGGAGGAACACCAAUGGCGAAGGCAGCCUUCUGGUCCGAUUCUGACGCUGAGGCACGAAAGCUAGGGGAGCAAACGGGAUUAGAAACCCUAGUAGUCC